GCAGCCCGCCGGCGGCCAACUAAACUCUUGUUUCUAUAGUGAAUCUCUGAGUAAAAAACAUAAAUGAAUCAAAACUUUCAACAACGGAUCUCUUGGUUCUGGCAUCGAUGAAGAACGCAGCGAAAUGCGAUAAGUAAUGUGAAUUGCAGAAUUCAGUGAAUCAUCGAAUCUUUGAACGCACAUUGCGCCCUCUGGUAUUCCGGAGGGCAUGCCUGUUCGAGCGUCAUUUCAACCCUCAAGCCUGGCUUGGUGAUGGGGCACUGCCUGUAAAAGGGCAGGCCCUGAAAUCUAGUGGCGAGCUCGCCAGGACCCCGAGCGUAGUAGUUAUAUCUCGCUUUGRAAGGCCCUGGCGGUGCCCUGCCGUUAAACCCCCAACUUUUGAAAAUUUGACCUCGGAUCA
rnacentral:rRNA from 1 species